AUGGCCGUGCGUUUCCUCGUACUGUCCCUCCUCGUCUUGGCCUCCUCCAGCUCAGGCUCCACCACUUCGCUCGCCACCAACGCCACCGCCGAUGGCGGCUCGCUGGAUCGUCUGGAUGCGGGGAGCGUCACCACGUUCAGCUUCUCCAACUUCCAUCCCGAGUACCGCGGCAAAAACCUGACGGUGAUCGGCGACGCUGACAUCACCAAGGGCGCGCUCCAGAUCACGCCGGACACGGUCAACGAGGCCGCCCACUUCCUCACUAACAAGUCCGGCCGCGUCCUCUACUACGCCCAGGUCAGGCUCUGGCGCCGCGAGAAGGGCGGCAAGGCCAAUGCCAGCGCCGGCGGCAAGAAGGUCGCGUCCUUCCGCACCGUCUUCACCGUCAACGUCUUCCGCGUGUCGGGCACGGAGCCUGCGGAGGGGUUCGCGUUCCUCAUCGCGCCGUCCGCGGGCGAGCCCCCCGCCGGCAGCUACGGCGGGUACCUCGGCCUCACCAACGCGACGACCGACGGCAACGCCGCGAACAAGGUCGUCGCCGUCGAGCUCGACACCGAGAAGCAGCCCUACGACCCGGACGACAACCACAUCGGCCUCAACGUGAACAGCGUCGUCUCCGUCGCCAACGCCUCGCUCACGCCCCGCGGCAUCGAGAUCUCGCCGGUCAAGACCGCCAAGUACAACGUCUGGAUCGAUUACGACGGCGAGGCCCGCCGCAUCAAGGUGUACAUGGCUGACUUCGAGGACGCCAAGCCCGCGUCUCCGGUGCUCGCCGCGCCGCUGGACCUCGGGGCCACCGUGGCCGAGAGGUCCUACUUCGGGUUCGCCGCGUCCACGGGUACCAAGUACCAGCUCAACUGCGUCCUGGCGUGGAACAUGACGGUGGAGAAGCUCGACGAGCCCAACAACAAGGCCCUCAAGCUGGGACUCGCCGUCGGGGUGCCCGUCGCGGUGCUCGCGCUGGGCGCCGCCGCCGCAUUGGGGUACUACAUGUGCGUGGUGAGGCGGCGGAAGGUGGGCCGCGACAAGGGCAGCGCCAUCACCGGGACGAUGAUCCGGAGCCUCGCCGGCGGGCCGCGGGAGUUCGACUACCGGGAGCUGCGGAAGGCGACCAACAACUUCGACGAGAGGAUGAAGCUGGGGCAGGGCGGGUACGGGGUGGUGUACCGCGGCACGGUGACCGACGACCACAGCAACCCGACCGCCGCGGGGACCACGGUGGAGGUGGCGGUCAAGAAGUUCUCGCGGGCGAGCACGCAGGGGCAGAACGACUUCCUCGCCGAGCUCAGCAUCAUCAACCGCCUCCGCCACAAGCACCUCGUCCGCCUCGUCGGGUGGAGCCACGACAAUGGCGAGCUGCUGCUGGUGUACGAGUACAUGUCGAACGGCAGCCUGGACCAGCACCUGUUCAGCUCAGCGCCGGGGUCGCGGCCGGGGCAGCCGCUCGGGUGGGAGCUCCGGUACAGAAUCGUCCAGGGCGUGGCGUCGGCGCUGCACUACCUGCACGACCAGUUCGACCAGCGCGUGGUGCACCGCGACCUCAAGGCCUCCAACAUCAUGCUCGACGCCGCCUUCACCGCGCGCCUCGGCGACUUUGGCCUGGCCCGCGCCAUCGAGACGGACAAGACCUCCUACAUGGAGGAGGCCGGCGGCGGCGUGCACGGCACCGUCGGCUACAUCGCCCCCGAGUGCUUCCACACCGAGAAGGCCACGCGCGAGUCCGACGUCUACGCCUUCGGCGCCGUCAUCCUCGAGGUGGUCUGCGGCCGCCGCCCGCGCUGCGACAUCGACGGCUUCCACUUCCUGGUGGACUGGGUGUGGCGCCUCCACCGCGACGGCCGCGCGCUCGAGGCCGUCGACCCCGGCCUCGACGGCGCCUUCGACGAGGACGACGCCGAGCGCCUGCUCAUGCUGGGCCUGGCCUGCAGCCACCCGACGCCCGCCGAGCGGCCCAAGGCGCAGGCCAUCUCGCAGAUCCUGCUGCGGUCCAUGCCGACGCCGGCCGUGCCGCCGUUCAAGCCCUCCUUCGUGUGGCCGGCGACGGACGGAGGAUUCGACACCAUGUCCACGACGGCGGGAUCGACGUCGAGCACGGUCGUGACAUCCACGUCCACCUGGAGCGGCAACUUCGCGAGGGGCAGCCAGAACCACGCGCCGCCGGCGGAGCAAGACACCUCCGGUUCAGUGGUUUGA
rnacentral:rRNA from 1 species